GGUGAUCCUGCGCAGUAGUCAUAGCGAC
rnacentral:rRNA from 1 species